rnacentral:lncRNA from 13 species
CCUUUGAGAAACACCUUUGUUAAUUAAUCUUUUUCUUCUGCAGACACAAUCGUGAAUUCUUUGGGACCGUACACUCUGUUGACACUUAACUUAUGGGCUCAUAUUGAAGAUUGCCAAGUCCCGGAGCCACAGAAUACAUAUCACUGCCGUACAGGUUUGAUUGUAUACACCAGUGAAUCCUAGCAACAAACACAUGAACUUGGAAGGGGAUCCUUUUCCACCUGAACCUUCACUUGAGAGCCCAGCCCUGGCCAUCAUCUAAUCUGGAUUCCCAGCCCAGAGAGACUGUGAGUAAUGUGUGUGGUUUCGAGGCACUUGAAUGUGUGAGUGCAGAAACUAAUAAGUAGCACACCAGAUAGUAAGUGUACCGUGGCAUCCUGGAUUGGACCCUCGAACCAAAGGAGGACAUUACUGCAAAGCCUAGUAAAACACGUUAGAAAUCUGUACUUCCGUUAAAAUUUUUGUACCACAUACAACUUCUUUGUUUUCCUAAUGAUACUAUGGUUAUAUUAGAUAUUAACAUUCCAGAUAUCUGAAAGGUGUAUAAAACUCUCUGUACUAUCUAUGAAUAUUUCUGUAUAUCUAAAGUUGUUUCAAAUAGUAAAAUGUGUAGAUGUUAUUUAGGCACACAAAAAACAAACCAUAGACAAUAACCU